GAUGAACGCUGGCGGCAUGCCUAAUACAUGCAAGUCGAACGAGAGGAAGGAAAGCUUGCUUUUCUGAAUCUAGUGGCGAACGGGUGAGUAACACGUAAGUAACCUGCCCAUGUGCCCGGGAUAACUUCUGGAAACGGAUGCUAAAACCGGAUAGGUAGCAGACAAGCAUUUGACUGCUAUUAAAGUGGCUAAGGCCAUGAACAUGGAUGGGCCUGCGGUGCAUUAGCUAGUUGGUGAGGUAACGGCCAACCAAGGCGACGAUGCAUAGCCGGCCUGAGAGGGCGGACGGCCACAUUGGGACUGAGACACGGCCCAAACUCCUACGGGAGGCAGCAGUAGGGAAUUUUCGUCAAUGGGGGGAACCCUGAACGAGCAAUGCCGCGUGAGUGAGGAAGGUCUUCGGAUCGUAAAGCUCUGUUGUAAGAGAAAAACGACAUUCAUAGGGAAUGAUGAGUGAGUGAUGGUAUCUUACCAGAAAGUCACGGCUAACUACGUGCCAGCCGCCGCAGUAA
rnacentral:rRNA from 1 species